rnacentral:rRNA from 1 species
GAUACCCUGGUAGUCCACGCAGUAAACGAUGAAUGCUAAUUGUCCGUUGCGAAUGAGCGAUGGGUGAUACAGCGAAAGCGUUAAGCAUUCCACCUGGGGAGUACGCCGGCAACGGUGAAACUCAAAGGAAUUGACGGGGGCCCGCACAAGCGGAGGAACAUGUGGUUUAAUUCGAUGAUACGCGAGGAACCUUACCCGGGCUCAAACGCCGUCUGACGUAGGCUGAAAGGCUUAUUUCUUCGGACAGACGGCGAGGUGCUGCAUGGUUGUCGUCAGCUCGUGCCGUGAGGUGUCGGCUUAAGUGCCAUAACGAGCGCAACCCCUGUCGACAGUUGCUAACAGGUUAGGCUGAGGACUCUGUCGAGACUGCCGGCGCAAGCUGUGAGGAAGGCGGGGAUGACGUCAAAUCAGCACGGCCCUUACGUCCGGGGCGACACACGUGUUACAAUGGCAGGUACAGCGGGAAGCCACCCGGCGACGGGGCGCGGAACCCGAAAACCUGUCUCAGUCGGAUUGGAGUCUGCAACCCGACUCCAUGAAGCUGGGAUCGCUAGUAAUCGCGCAUCAGCCACGGCGCG